CUUCCCUUUUAGUGAUUUUACUAGAAAACAGCCGUCCCUGUUUAGAAGAUGUUUUCAGAUGGAUUCCUGAAUUGUUUGCUGCAUUAUCUUCCCUGGUGCAGAAGUUAAGCUGACUGACAUCAGCGAUAAAGGGGUGCAGGAUCCAGAAAAGAGAAGCCAGUAGUGAACACUGACCGUGGACAACAGAUGAAACAGACAGACGAACUAUCGCAAGAAGGUGUGGAUACAACAGUACAUUGAGAGCCGAGAAGGAAGGACUGUGCUGGAGUACUAAUUCUGAACAUGGCACUAGGUCUUUCAUGAACCCAAGGAGCUGAUAUAUUUCCAGAAACCCACCCCAUGGUACAUGCUCAGAUGGGAAGGGCUUGAACCACCCAACUAGAAGCAGAACACAGACAGAUGUUUUCCUCAGGUGCUACCCCAGACGAUACUGCCAGGACCGCAAUUCAUUGUGCAGCUUGUGCUGACGGCGGCCUCACCGUACCCUGCACCACUUGCUGUGUCCCCUCCUGGAUUGCAGCAAACCCUGCAACAGGAUGCCCUUCGUGGUGACAAGCACUCCCAUCAACUGCCCAGAGUGUUAACCCUUUUCCUUGUACUUCUUCCCAGGAUGUUGCUAAGAAGAAUGGAGAUAGUAAGUCUAAAUCAGGAUCUGGCAACGGACAUUCGUGCUCAUCUCCUGCGAGGAUGCGGAGGAAAUCCAGACACGCCAGCCCUUCUUUUUAGGUGACAGAUGCUAGAAUCAAAGAAUUAUAGACCCAUCAGGUUAGAAGGCACUGCAAGGUCCAGGGAGGGUGUUUGGGUGAAGAAGGGGGUUUGGGGUGUAGGCUCUGGG